GGCCCGGCUCGGCCCGGCCCCUCCCGGGACCCGGGAGCCACAGGGACCCUUCCCGGGUUUCUAAAGGGUCUGAAGGGCGAGAGGAUGGGCGGCGGGUGGGGUGUGGCAAGAGAAUAAGGCAGAAUCCGCCGGAGAGGUUGUCCGGGGCACGGUGUGGGUGUCUGCAACGGGGUCAAGUGUGCUGGGGCGCCGCGCGUCUGCGCCGGAAGAGCAAGCGCGUAAAGCGAGCUGGAGCUUCCAGCCAAACACAACCCAGAGUCCCCGUCUCCACCCCCACCCCAGCUAAUGGUGGCUGCACCCCCAAGCUGGAACCUGCCUCUGCAAAAUCAGCCCUCAGCCUCUCAGCUUCAGGGUAUUUUUUGUUAAGUAAGCUCCACACCCAGCGUGAGGCUUGAACGCAUGACCCUGAGAUCAAGAGUCACAAGCUCUACCAAAGGAGCCAGCCAGCUGCCCCUCAAGGUCAGCAGAUGUGAUUCCUCCCCACUUCCCCCACUCCAGCCCAGUCUCUAAGCCUUCAGACUAAGUGGGGUUCCACGCAGAGAAGUGUUUACUUAUUUUUGAGAGAGAGACCGGGGAAGGAGCAGAGAGAGGGGUACAGAGGAUCUGAAGCAAGCACUGUGCUGAUAGCAGAAAGCCUGAUGCAGGGCUUGAACUCAUGAACUGAACCGUGAGAUCAUGACCUGAGCCGACGUUGGACGCUUAACCGACUGAACCACCCAGGCUCCCUGGUUCCUUACCAUCUUGACAUCCUGUCCUCAUUCUCCCUCGGGACGCCUUCCCUCCGCCCAGUCUGGGCCCUUCAGACAAACAUAGAUGAGGGAAUGCUGUCUCUUCCAGGUACCACCUAUGUUCCCUUAACCUCUCCACUUCUUAGUUUCUUCAUCUGUGAAACAGGGACAGUGGCGAAUGGCUCUCGGAUAUGCGGUGAGGCCUAAGCGGCCGAUGGCUCUGGAAGUGUUCAGUACAGUACCAGUACGGAGAGGUGCUCUGGGAUAGGGUCCCUCAUCCUUUCCUUCAGGUACAUCUCCUGCCUCCACUGCCACCCCCCACUCCACCCGCCAGUGGAAACUUUCCCUUGUCUCUGUGCACUGGCUACUUCUGCCCCAUCCCCCACUUCUGAGCAGAGCGGUGGCCCCGGGCAAAGUGGGAGGAGAACCAGGGGACUCCGGGGCACGCCGCCACCAUGCUGAGGAGAUGGGGGCAGACGCAGAGAGCUCUGCAGGGACCUCAGACCAGAACUCCCAUCUGCAGGGCUGGGUCGACCUAGAAUGGCGUCCACUCUUGUCCCUGGGGUUAUUGGGGACCGCUCUUCUGGCCUGGGGAUGGGGAAGGGCUCCCACAGAGUCCCCUGAGGCACCAAAAGGACCAGAAGACUGGUGGGAGAUGAAGGAGGGGAGGCAGGGCAGGGGAAUACCAACCACACACUAUUCCCCGUCUCUGCUCCCUUCCCAUCCACCCCCAUCCUCCACCAAACACGAUCCCUGGGUUAAUUUUUAGCAUCGCAGCUCGUACAUUAGUCACUCCCUGUCACCCACCUACACGGCAGGAGGCUGCUGUGCUGGUGCCGUCAUCCCAUCAUCUGUGAGGUGGGAUCCAGCCCCGCUCUGGGCACCCCCUCAGCCUCCUCCAGGAGCCCCUUCAGCCUGGGUGAGGGGUACCGACAUCACCCCCAAGACUAGCCGCAGGGGAGGAGGGGAGGAACAGGCUGGUCAGAGAGAGGCUGGGUGUCCCUGCUAGGAGGCAAAAGCCGGGGAGGCCCCUGCAGACCCCGCCCCCAGUAAGGUGCUAGGCUCUGCCCAGGCAGCUGGUCUCCUGGCAGUCCCAGGCUCUGGGAACAAAGGUAUGAGAGGGCCCCUCCCUUAGACCUGAGCCUCUAAGAGCUGCUGUUUGUCACGGCUGCAGAGCAGCUGUUCAAACAGGGAGCUUAGGGAGGCUCCAUUUGCUUAAUCAAAUGUCUUCCCUUCCCCGGAACGAGGGUGGCCAGGUGCAGGGACCCUGGCUGGAGCUGACACCCAGCCCCAAAGGGACAGCAGGAGAGGGGCUCACAGUUGCCGGCAUCAGCUGGAGCAGAGGUAGGGCCUCCUCACCACCCCUACCCCAGGGCUGAGAGCUGGGGAGGUGGCCAGUCAACCCUCUGCUGGCCUGGCCCCAAGGAAGCAUUCCUGUUUAUUGAGCACCUGCUGUGUACCACAGCAGUGUUAGGCCCUGGAGGCACAGUGUCAACAGGGCUGAGUUUCCUGCCUUAGGAAGGCAAAAGAUCUAUACAAAGGAAGUCAGUAUAAUCACCAAUGGGGCGUUAAGUGUCGUAAAGAAAAGAAAAUUAAAUAAAUAAAUAAAUAAC